GCCCCCGUAGCUCAGGGGAUAGAGCAACGCUCUCCUAAAGCGUGUGUCGGAGGUUCGAAUCCUCCCGGGGGCGCCG
rnacentral:tRNA from 1 species